rnacentral:tRNA from 1 species
GGGCCCAUAGCUCAGUUGGUAGAGCGCUCCCAUGGCAUGGGAGAGGUCAGGAGUUCGAGUCUCCUUGGGUCCA